GUGGGGUGACUUUUAUCGGUCAUCUUGCAAAUAUUAAUCCGCUGGCCUCGCAAGGGGCUAGUCGAUAGAUAACAUAAAUGUGUGUAGUGUUGACAGUGUGUGAUAUUUAAUUAAUUAUUGACAACUUUUAACAAUGGAUCUCUAGGCUCUUGCAUCGAUGAAGAACGCAGCAAAAUGCGAAACGUGAUGCGAUUUGCAUGAAUCUGUGAGUCAUCUAAUCUUUGAACGCGAAUGGCACUGUUACGUAAGUAGCAGUAUGUCUGUUUGAGAAUCGCAAACACGAUCAACUCUAGUUAGAGUUGGCAUUGACCUCAUGCGCUUUUAUAGUUGCAUUUGGUUUGAAUGGAUCAAGUUGAUGGGCUUCCCAGCGAUGCUCGAUGUGUGCUAGCGAGACAGUCGUCCCGAUCUCACAUUAUUGUAUUGUUGCAGAGCUCUAAUCACAGCUUGUUAAUUAUUAUAAUAUAUCUAUUACGAUCUCAAAUCAGGCAAGAUUACCCGCUGAACUUAAGCAUAUCAAUAAGCGGAGGAAAAGAAACUAACAAGGAUUCCCCUAGUAACGGCGAGUGAAGCGGGAAAAGCUCAAAUUUAAAAUCUGGCGUAAAAGCCCGAAUUGUAAUCUAAAGAGACGUUAUCGGACACAAG
rnacentral:rRNA from 1 species